rnacentral:lncRNA from 1 species
GGAAGCCGCCGGGGCCGCCUAGAGAAGAGGCUGUGCUUCGGCGCUCCGGCUCCUCAGAGAGCCUCGGCUAGCUGGGAUUCUGUCCCUGACCGUCUUCACAGUCCAGGUGAUCUUGACUACUGCUUUACAGAGAAUUGGAUCUGAGGUGUGGAAACAGGAAGAGAACUAGAACUGGAAGUAAAGCAUUGAAGAUGUGACUGAAUUGCUGCAAUCUCAUGAUCAAAUUUGAAUGGAUGAGGAGUUGCUUUUUAGGGAUGAGCAAAGAAAGUGGUUUCUCGAGAUGGAAUCUACUGGUUGCUCCUUGAGGGCAGGACAGUUCUUAUGGCUUUAUCCGUUGCGUAAGCACAGAGAGGUCUGCGAGGUCAAAACUAUUGUCAUGAUAGCAAGAUGCCUGUCUUUUUCAUUUAUUCUCACGGUGUGCAGAGGCUACAUGAUGUGUGAUGACAUCCUCAUUGAUGUUAAUGAAUGGUGCUAUACUUGAAUUUUCUAAGGUGUCAUUAGGUAGGUUUAGGUAUGCAUACUUGUUUUUAGAAAUUAUUUUUUUCCUUUUUCCCAUUUUUAGAAAUCAACUCAUUUUUUAGGUUAUGCCUUCAGUAAUCUUUGCAACCUCAAUAUUGUGUAAUGGUUACUUUAAAAUACUGUAGUUUUCUUUGUGCCUAAGUAUAAACAUAAGUACAUUUUGUUGUUUUGUUUGCAAUAGUGGUUUAAAUAUUUUCCCAAAAUAUCCAAAUUUAAAAAUUCUACAACUUUAGAAUUUAAUAAAUUUAUUCUAAAAUAUUUAUAUAUUUUUUCAUUUAAGAAUGGAUCGGCUUAAAAAGACUGCUUCUCAUUUACUUACUGGCUAUACCAUCUGUAUACUAAUAAAAAACAAGAUUUGAUUUGGAAGGACUGACUCAAACUAACGAAAAUAUGAAACCUGUCUUUCUGCUUUGGAGAUAUUUACCUAAUCAUGUUCUGCAGUAGAAUAAUUUAGUUCUUUUGUCUUUUUUUGGAGAUGAGGUCUUGCUGUGUUGCCCAGGCUAUUCACAGCUGCCAUCAUAGUGAACUACAGCCUGAAACUCCUGGGUUCAAGAGAUCCUUCUGCCUCAGCCUCCUGAGUAGCUGGAACUAUAGGCAUGCGCCACCAAGCCUGGGCUUUUAAAAAAAUUUUAAAAAGAAUUUUGAGACAGGAUCUUGCCAUGUUGCUCAGGCUAGUCUUCAACUCCUAGCCCUGAGUGAUCUUGCUUUGGGCCUCUCAAAAUGUUGAGUUAAUAGGCGUGAGCCACCAUACCCAGCCAAAAAUUUUUUUAGAGAUGGGAAUGGAAUGAUCUUGAAUAGUGUUGGUGCCACCUAUGUUGUGGCAUCAUUUUGAAACCAAUCAUUCAGAGUGCUUUUUUUGGUAAGGCAUUAUUUUUUAAUGCAGGUAUGCCACUACUGGGAAAAAAAAAAAAACAGGUUUUAAAGCUAGAAAUGAAAAGCUACUUAAGUAUCUUAAAGGAUAAGUUACUUUAUUAUACACUAGAAACAUACACAAUAGCUGAAAAACUUAAAAAAUCUCACACUGCUGAAUGUCUCUGCUGGCUGAAGUGUAAGUAAAAGAUCAUAGUAGUGCCGCUGUUGAGUGAUAAAGCAACUUGUCAUUAAAGAUGUGUGUGCAGACAUGGAUUCUGAGUUAAUAUCUCAUCUGUAGAAGUAUAUAUUUGUCCCUUGCUUUGGGAUUGGUUUCUGGACAGCACUCCCCCACCCUUGCUGGCCAUUUGCCAAGGACACCAAAACCCAAGGAUGUUGAAUUCCCUUUUAUAAAAUGGCGCUGUAUCUGCAUACAACUUACACACAUCCUCCCAUAUACUUUAAAUCAUUUCCAGAUUUCUUAUACUUCAUACAAUGUGAAUGCUAUAUAAAUAGUUGUUACAUUGUGUACUUAUAUUUGUACUAUUGUAUUAAAUAUUCUCAAAUAUUUUCAAGCA